rnacentral:rRNA from 1 species
UACAGAGGUCUCAAGCGUUGUUCGGAUUCAUUGGGCGUAAAGGGUGCGUAGGCGGCGCGGUAAGUCGGGUGUGAAAUCUCGGGGCUUAACUCCGAAACUGCAUUCGAUACUGCCGUGCUUGAGGACUGGAGAGGAGACUGGAAUUUACGGUGUAGCGGUGAAAAUGCGUAGAUAUCGUAAGGAAGACCAGUGGCGAAGGCGGGUCUCUGGACAGUUCCUGACGCUGAGGCACGAAGGCCAGGGGGAGCAAAACGGGG